ensembl:lncRNA
ACCACAUCUCUAGCAUUUUCAUCUGAGCUGGAUGGAGGUCCUAUUCACCAGAAGAGAAAAUUGAAGUGGGAGGUGAAGCACCCUGAGGCCUUCGACUUUGAUGCUUACUGUGAAAAAAGAAAGGAAGGGAGCCUCUGAAAAGAGAUCUUGCAAGACUUUUAAGCAAAUGUCCUCGGAUGCACUCUGCCUAAGCUCAGAAGACACCAAAAAGCACAGCGUCAUCGCAUCCUCCCGCAUCCUCAUCUCCCUCGCUCCCAGACCCAGCCAGGUUGUCCGUGGCCUUAAAUGCUGGUUCUCCCUAUUACUGGGCUGCUGCGUUGAAAGCAAAAAACAAACAGAAGUCCCAAAGUUCCACCGUGGUGGUUACCUCCUCCCCGCCGCAAGUAUUUACUCACUUAACCUUAAGAACAGAUACUUUGGCCAUCUGAUGCAAAGAAAGGACUCAUUUGAAAAGACCCUGAUGCUGGGAAAGACUGAAGGCGGGAGAAGGGGACGACAGAGGAUGAGAUGGUUGGAUGGCAUCACCAUUCAACGUGAGUUUGAGCAAACUCCGGGGGACAGUGAAGGACAGGGAAGCCUGGCGUGCUGCGGUCCGUGGGGUCUCAAAGAGUUGGAACUGAACUGAAGGAACAGAUGUCUUCUGUCUUUUGUUUUUGUUGUUGUUGCUGUUGUUUUUGGUAGUGCCUCUUUAUCCACCUACCCAACACAUACACAGAGUUUUGGGCCUGUAAUAAGUGAUCAAUAAUUGUUGGAUUGGAUUGAGCUGAGCUGAGUAGAUUUAAAUUGAAUAGAGCUGGACCUACAAAACACUCAGAAUUGCACUAACAGCAGUAGCGUGAUGGCAUUUUUUCUGUGGUACAUCUGAUAGCUCUGUUUGCCCGGUGUGUCCAUUUUCCCUUAGCAUAGAACAGCACCUGAUUUGCAACCAGAGGAUCACCCUCCCCUACUCACUGUCCAAGGGAUUCACAUACAUGGCUGCAAGGCCACAGCUAGUCCACAGGAUACCUUUGUGCAAAUUAAAGUCAUACACCCCUUCCUCCAGGCAGAACACCAGGCUUGCCCAGCAAGUAGCUGGUGCUGCACUGCCUGGUCAGCUGGAAGUUAUACAUGGUUCACAAUUAGCCUCAGUCGUUCUCAUUUGCAGCAGUACACUUACUCACACUGGCCAAUCAGCCCAUUCAACUUCUCAGGCCACAGUAAAGAGUUUCAGAAACAGAAAUGUGAACUGAGUUGAGCUUAUGAAAGUUAGCCAGAGAACUUUAGCUGGAAUUAUAGAAAUGAGGCAUUCUUACUUUCUGGUGGAAUGAUUAAAUGGCGGCAUACAGAUUUGGAGCUGCACUUGACUAUCAUCAUCAUCAUCAAUGAGGAAGAGUCAGCAAAAGGUGCAUGAGAUGGAAUCAAUGACAGAUUAUGAAUCGUAUCCUAUGAGUACCUGGAUUCAGUCAUGUCUGAAUCAAAUCACCUUUUC